rnacentral:rRNA from 1 species
CCCUUAGAUGUCCGGGGCCGCACGCGCGCUACACUGAAGGAAUCAGCGUGGCUUUCUCCCUGACCCGAAAGGGUUGGGAAACCCGUUGAAUCUCCUUCGUGAUAGGGAUUGGGGCUUGAAAUUGUUCCCCAUGAACGAGGAAUUCCCAGUAAGCGCGAGUCAUAAGCUCGCGUUGAUUACGUCCCUGCCCUUUGUACACACCGCCCGUCGCUACUACCGAUUGAGUGUGCUGGUGAAAUGUUCGGAUCGGCCGUUUGUCGCGGUUUCCGCGGCUCGUGGCUGAGAAGUUCAUUAAACCCUCCCACCUAGAGGAAGGAGAAGUCGUAACA